UUUGUAUAGGUGUGAGCUUGAAUAAUGUGGAGAUGCAAUCAACUAUGUGUGUAAGAAAGAAUAUGUGAAAAGGGAAGGAAUGUGUGUGUGUGUGUGUGUGUGUGUGUGUGUGUGUGUGUGUGUGUGUGUGUGUGUGUGUGUGUGAGAGAGAGAGAGAGAGAGGUCUGAGAGAGCAUAUUUGUGUGACAGGGAGACAGAUGUAAAAAAAUUCCUAGAAACUGUGGCUGGGUCUGCAGGAGCCACAUUAGCACUGCUCUGACAGGACGAGUUAUUAAAUGUUCCCUCGUUUGGUGACAGCAUCAUACUUUGACGUGGAUCUCUGCUUGCCUGCCAACGUGUCCCUGCAGUAAGAAGUUGAGACUAUUCUGAGACUGAGCCUUGUUGGUUGAAUAUGUGGUGAUAGACUGCUGUUUUUUUUCUCCUAAGAUACUACUUAUGCUCUGGAAGAGAGAAAUGAGAAGUUCAGAAGGAAGUCCAGAGAAGCAAGUUAAUUUCAAAAGUAAUGUAUGAAAUUUAUUAUAUAUUUAAAACAAAAAGCAUAAUAAAAUGAAGAUUUAUGGUUUAA